ACAAGAAGCAGACGUACUUUCAAGAGGGAGCUGCAGUGAGGACACUGAGGUCAGAGGAGGCGCUGAAAGGUUUCACUAAUAGUUCCUGGUGAAUCAAAGCAGGACCAUAAAGGUUGCUGGACUGCAUGAUGGCCUUACCCCUGAGCAGUCAUCCUGUUAAAGGAGGAACCAGUUAGAAGCUGUUUUCAAAGUAGCUGAGCAGAUUUCACCUCAACAGACAAAGCCGAUGGCAGAAGAUGUUUGGAGAAGAACUUCAGGCCGUGUACUGACAAGAUCAAAGCAGCUUGUGCUCUGUCUGCUUCCAUUUUGAUGGCAAGAAGAAGAAGAAGAAGAAGACUUCAGCGAAGUGGCGUUCAUGGUCUCAGUGGAAAGUCAUGGUCACACACUGCAUGUGGUUUUAAAAGCAACAUGUCUGUUCACCACAACAAUGGAGAUGUGUAAUAUUAGUGCAGCUACGGUUUGUUCUUGAACAUCAGUUCUGUUUUCUACUUUGACCACUUAGACCAAAAAAGUGUUGUUUUCAGAUUCUUUCUUAUAAAUCUGUAAAUCACCUGUUCAUUUUUUAUUACAAUUAGUUUCACAUAAAUGUUAGUGUUUCCUUUAUGGUCUUUUAAUGCUUACACUAGACUGUACACGUCUACAUUAGAGACAUUUCUGUUACCUAUUUAUGAGACUGGGCUGCUUUACUACAAUUUGGAAAUGGAUGCAAAAUCGUGCUAUUGUUUGUUUUUUAAUAUGAUUCAAUUCAAUUCAAUAAAACUUUAUUGAUCCUGAAGGUUGACCCCGAGGGAAAUUUGGGUUAAGGCCAACACAGGAGGUGUCUGACUAAGCAAAGAUUAAUCUGAUCCCAUUUCUACCUGUCUCUACUGUUUCAACUGUAACUGUCAGGAUAUAUAUUUAUUCCAGCUCUCACAGGACAAAGGAAUGACUCAGACUUGUCAAAUGUUCUUUGAUUUGAUACACAAUAUGAAGUUCACAAUUUUCUUACAAAUAAA